CGCAACCUGCUAUUCAAGAAGUUCGUCAACCGUUUGCUGAUGCUCCGUAACCCCGUUGCCUUGGACGAGUUCCGGCUCUGCCACAACAUCGGUCCAGAGCAAGAAGAUGACACCGCAGAAGUUAACCUGUGGGUCGGCCAUGCUUUGCUCUGCAACGCUCGGUGUGUCGAGGUUUCCGUGUGGAGCUAUAUUUUGGAGCUCGAUCCUGCGGUGUUUACUUCACAACACUAGACAAAUCUGAGGCUUUUCGGUUGUGAUUUGCCCCGUGGCUUCUUUAGGCACCUCAAAACGGGCUGUGAAGUAUUGGAACGUCUGAUCUUACAAAACUGCACCAUUGAUGACAUUGAGAUUUCCUCCCAAACACUGAAGGUUUUGUCCAUUGAGGUUGAUUGUUUCUUCAUACCUUAUGACCGGGCUUCUAUUUCCAUUCCAAGCCUCAUUCAUCUUGACUUCUUUGGUUGCACUAAGAGUAUAAUACCUUUACUAGAGAACAUGGAACCACUGUUGUCAGCAUCUGUUGCAGUUGGUAGUUUUGUUACCGAUGAUACUCAGGCUGAUGAUAUUCUGGUUAAUGACGUCCGUCGAUUUCUCCGGGACCUCUCUGGUGUUACAGAAUUGGAUUUCUAUUUUGAAGAGAUAGUGUGUGUUCUGAAGCUAUAGUCCUGCCUGAAAGUUUCUCACUAAUUACUCAAUAGUAUCUGAGCUCCCUCCUAUUUCUUUUUGGUGAAUAUGGAAAAGAAUUUGCAAUGGUUCCCAAAAUUCAACAAUCUUAAAUUCCUGACUCUUGGUCAAUGGUGUCUGGAUGCAGACUUCUAUGCAUUGAUAGUCUUCCUUCAGAACUCACCUAAUCUGGUGAAGCUAACUCAGAAUCUCAAACAGUAUAUAACUGGAAGACUCAUGGGCGAGCUUGGAAAUAGAUCGUUUACAUGUGAGCACCUUAAGAUUGUUGAAAUCAUUUGCUUGAAGCGUAAUCCCGUGGUCAACAGCCUGGAGGAGUUUUUGCUUGGGAGCGGCAUAACCUCUGGUCAGAUUCACAUCAAGCACUAGAAGUAGCUCCGGUCAUGUUUGUAUCAACCACUGGAACCAGUCAUUCUGGAUCGUUCGUUUAUCAGUGGACGCAGGAACAUCUACUUGUUUCGUUCGUGUCAGAAACAUCAGUUUUACUUUAUCUGUGUUUCAGUUCGGAUGGAUGCAUCUUUGAAGUUUCACUUGCUACCGUGUAAAUGUUUACAUUUUAUUACCUCAUCGGCCUUUACUUACGAUGGAUGCAUCUUCGGAGCAAAUGGAUUACUUUUCUGCUGUGAAGAUGUAGAAGAGAGGGGGCUAUGGCACGCAUAAGCUAGCUCAUAUAUGCUUGUAUAGAUUAAUUUGAUGUAUCAGAUCAUGCAAUGCGAUCAACAACAAUGUUAUGGC